GCCGGAGGCCUAAAUCGGUCUUAAAAUCCCGUGGCCUUUGGGCCGUCCGGGUUCGAUUCCCGGCCCCGGCA
rnacentral:tRNA from 1 species